rnacentral:lncRNA from 12 species
AUGUCUUUUGAUGUAAUUUACUCACAUUAUUUCUCAUUUGUGACUCCAGUGGGCUCACAGGAAGGACAGACUCAGUCUCCUAUAAAAUGGAUACUCGCAUUCUCCCCGGGAUCCUGCUGUGUGAAGAGCCCCACUACUGUAGGACCAGUUUCCCCAUCUGGAAAAUGGAUCACUCUGCCCAAUCCAUCUCACUCAAGAACCAUUUUUGAAGGUAAAAUCAACAGAAGAAUAAAUGAGGAGUUCUGCUGUGGGUAGGAGAGUUGAACCCAAAUAAUAAUUGUUCUUAAGAUAAAGCUCAGCCAUCAGAAUAUUCUCACUGCACCACAAUGAGGAAUGGAGAGCUGGACCUCUUGGGGGCCAUUCCUAGAUGUGGAUUCUCUACUAGCAAGAGAGAUACAAUUUGCAAGGUACUUUUUAGAUACAAAAUCUUAGUUCAGCCUUAUCUAAACAUGUUUGGAUUCUAGAGUCUCUUUUUCAGCCAGUAAAAUGUGUAGUUGUCCUCUUUCCUCCCUCUCAUCGUUUCCUUCCUUCCUUCCUUCCUUCCUUCCUUCCUUCCUUCCUUCCUUCCUUCCUUCCUCCCUCCCUCCCUCCCUCCCUCUCUCUCUCUCUCUCUUUUUCACUUUUUCUUUUUGACCAGAACUGCCUUUUCUCCACACUAGAUGUGUUUGCUUUUUUUUAUGCUGACCACCUCUCAUGCCUCCUGUGCUGUUUGAGUUACUAGCUGAAGGUAAGCUAUUUCCCUUCAGUGGGCUCAACCUCCUCCUCUAUCAAACAAAGGAUGAAACCAG